rnacentral:rRNA from 1 species
GACGAAGGUGGCGAGCGUUGUUCGGUGUCACUGGGCUUAAAGAGUAUGUAGGCGGAAGGGUAAGCGCCUUGUGAAAUCCCUCGGCUCAACCGAGGAAUUGCUUGGCGAACUGCUUUUCUUGAGGCAGGCAGGGGUGCAUGGAACUCUUGGUGGAGCGGUGGAAUGCGUAGAUAUCAAGAGGAACGCCGAUGGAGAAAUCAGUGCACUGGGCCUGUCCUGACGCUGAGAUACGAAAGCGUGGGGAGCGAACGGGAUUAGAUACCCUUGUA